GUCUCCCACUUCACUUUGCCAUGUAGACAGUUCUUGUCUCCAUUGGCCAUUCAGGUGGGGUACAGAGAAUAUCCUUUUAAAACCCAGCCAGUUUAUAUUUAACUGCCUUGGAUCCUGUCAGAGGAAACAGAU
ensembl:snoRNA